CAGCAGCCACGGUAAUACGUAGGUGGCAAGCGUUGUCCGGAAUUAUUGGGCGUAAAGGGCUCGCAGGCGGUUUCUUAAGUCUGAUGUGAAAGCCCCCGGCUCAACCGGGGAGGGUUAUUGGAAACUGGGAAACUUGAGUGCAGAAGAGGAGAGUGGAAUUCCACGUGUAGCGGUGAAAUGCGUAGAGAUGUGGAGGAACACCAGUGGCGAAGGCGACUCUCUGGUCUGUAACUGACGCUGAGGAGCGAAAGCGUGGGGAGCGAACAGGAUUAGAUACCCCGGUAGUCCAUGUCUCUUAUAC
rnacentral:rRNA from 1 species